UAAUACGGGGGGUGCGAGCGUUGUCCGGAUUCACUGGGCGUAAAGGGCGCGUAGGCGGCGCUAUCAGUCCGAUCUUCAAGCGCGGGGCUCACCCCCGCGAAGGGUCGGGGACGGUAGAGCUAGGGGCUGGUCGAGGGACGCGGAAUGCCGGGUGUAGUGGUGAAAUGCGUAGAGAUCCGGCGGAACACCGGUGGUGAAGACGGCGUCCUGGGCCGGGCCCGACGCUGAAGCGCGAGAGCGCGGGGAGCGAACCGGAUUAGAUACCCGGGUAGUCCGCGCCGUAAACGGUGGGCACUGGGUGUGGGGGGUAUCGACCCCCUCCGCGCCGGCGCGAACGCAGUAAGUGCCCCGCCUGGGGAGUACGGCCGCAAGGCUA
rnacentral:rRNA from 1 species